rnacentral:rRNA from 1 species
UCCAGAGAAUUUAGCAGAGAUGCUUUAGUGCCUUCGGGAACUCUGAGACAGGUGCUGCAUGGCUGUCGUCAGCUCGUGUUGUGAAAUGUUGGUUAAGUCCGCAACGAGCGCAACCCUUAUCCUUUGUUGCCAGCACGUAAUGGCGGGAACUCAAAGGAGACUGCCGGUGAUAAACCGGAGGAAGGUGGGGAUGACGUCAAGUCAUCAUGGCCCUUACGAGUAGGGCUACACACGUGCUACAAUGGCGUAUACAAAGAGAAGCGACCUCGCGAGAGCAAGCGGACCUCAUAAAGUGCGUCGUAGUCCGGAUUGGAGUCUGCAACUCGACUCCAUGAAGUCGGAAUCGCUAGUAAUCGUAAAUCAGAAUGUUACGGUGAAUACGUUCCCGGGCCUUGUACACACCGCCCGUCACACCAUGGGAGUGGGUUGCAAAAGAAGUAGAUAGCUUAACCUUCGGGAGGGCGUUUACCACUUUGUGAUUCAUGACUGGGGUGAAGUCGUAACAAGGUAAGCGUAGUGCU